rnacentral:rRNA from 1 species
GACGAACCGUGCGAACGUUAUUCGGAAUCACUGGGCUUAAAGCGCGUGUAGGCGGGCCGCCACGUCGGCUGCUGAAAUCCCCGGCUCAACCGGGGAACGGGCACCGAUACGAGCGGUCUUGAGGGGGUAGGGGGUCUGGAACUUCCGGUGGAGCGGUGAAAUGCAUAGAUAUCGUCAAGAACACCGAUAGCGAAGGCAGCUUACUGGGCUGUAACUGACGCUGAUGCACGAAAGUGUGGGGAUCAAACAGG